GACGAACGCUGGCGGCGUGGAUUAGGCAUGCAAGUCGAACGGUGUCAUCCUUUCGGGGGUGAGAGAGUGGCGAACUGGUGAGUAACACGUAGGUUAUCUACCCUCAAGACGGGGACAACCCAGGGAAACUUGGGCUAAUACCGGAUGUGAGCAACUUUUAGUUGUUUGAAAGGUGGCGUAAGCUGUCGCUUGGGGAUGAGCCUGCGUCCUAUUAGUUAGUUGGUGAGGUAACGGCUCACCUAGGCAAUGAUAGGUAGGCGGCCUUAACGGGUGGUCGCCCACACUGGGAUUGAGAUACGGCCCAGACUCCUACGGGAGGCAGCAGUCGAGAAUAGUCUACAAUGGUCGGAAGACUGAUAGUGCGACGCCGCGUGAACGAUGAAUCCCUUCGGGGUGUAAAGUUCUUUUAUAUGUGAGCAGUGCUUCUUAUAUUAACAGUAUGGGGAGAGAGAUAUUAGCAUAUGAAUAAGCAACGGCUAACUCCGUGCCAGCAGCCGCGGUAAA
rnacentral:rRNA from 1 species